GGCGGCGCGGUGUACCCUGGGAUAGGGAGCGAUCUCCGAGCGAGGCGGCAAGAUGGACGCGGGAUUUUUCCGCGGAACAAGUGCAGAACAGGAUAAUCGGUUCAGCAACAAACAGAAGAAACUACUGAAGCAGCUGAAAUUUGCAGAAUGCCUAGAAAAAAAGGUGGACAUGAGCAAAGUAAAUUUGGAGGUUAUAAAGCCUUGGAUAACAAAAAGAGUAACGGAAAUCCUUGGGUUUGAAGAUGAUGUUGUGAUUGAGUUUAUAUUCAACCAGCUGGAAGUGAAGAAUCCAGACUCCAAAAUGAUGCAAAUCAACCUGACUGGAUUUUUGAAUGGAAAAAAUGCUCGAGAAUUUAUGGGAGAACUGUGGCCCCUGCUGCUAAGUGCACAAGAAAACAUCGCGGGAAUCCCUUCUGCUUUCCUAGAACUGAAGAAAGAAGAAAUAAAACAAAGACAGAUUGAACAAGAAAAACUGGCAUCUAUGAAAAAGCAAGAUGAAGACAAAGAUAAAAGAGAUAAGGAAGAAAAAGAAAGCAGCAGAGAAAAAAGGGAGCGGUCUCGUAGCCCAAGAAGAACCAAGAGCCGGAGUCCUUCCCCUGCUCCAGAAAAGAAGGAAAAAACUCCAGAGCUCCCAGAACCUUCAGUGAAAGUAAAAGAACCUUCAGUACAAGAGGCUACUUCUACUAGUGACAUUCUGAAAGUUCCCAAACCUGAACCUAUACCAGAGCCUAAAGAACCUUCUCCGGAAAAAAAUUCCAAAAAAGAAAA
rnacentral:sRNA from 1 species